UAACGCGAAGAACCUUACCUGGGUUUGAAAUGUAGUGGAAAGCCUCAGAGAUGAGGUCCCCUCUUCGGAGGUCGCUACAUAGGUGCUGCAUGGCUGUCGUCAGCUCGUGUCGUGAGAUGUUGGGUUAAGUCCCGCAACGAGCGCAACCCUUGUCCAUAGUUACUAACGCGUAAUGGCGAGAACUCUAUGGAGACUGCCGGUGAUAAACCGGAGGAAGGUGGGGAUGACGUCAAGUCCUCAUGGCCUUUAUGUCCAGGGCUACACACGUGCUACAAUGGACGGUACAAAGAGUUGCGAUCCCGCGAGGGGGAGCUAAUCUCAAAAAGCCGUUCUCAGUUCGGAUUGCUCUCUGCAACUCGAGAGCAUGAAGCUGGAAUCGCUAGUAAUCGCGGAUCAGCACGCCGCGGUGAAUACGUUCCCGGGUCUUGUACACACCGA
rnacentral:rRNA from 1 species